AACAGUCCAAAAAUAACUGGUGAUUUGCUCCCAAGUUGGUGCAAAUACACCCACCUGUAUGUAAAAACAACCACAGGACUCAAGGAGGCAGGAUGAGAGACAGCAAAGGAACAGAAAAGAGCUGAUAGAGAGCAAAGGAACAGUAAAUAU